UCAUAUCCUCAGUAUGUUUUUAUGAAAUUGCGUAAAUGAGUACAUUGGGUUUUAUUUUAAGGUCCCAUAAAGAGCAAUAUUUGGGGUUAUCGCUGGAAAAGCAACUUAUAUUUCAGACGGCACUUGGCGCACUUCCGUUGGCUUUACUUCUCGUGUGUGGAGAUCGUCUUCCCGAGACAGGACACUGGGAACUUGGAGGAACUUGAACAAGUCAUAAUGGCCAUUACUGUGACCCCAAAGCCUGGAGCUUCUACAAGCAACAGCCCAAAGAACAUUGGGAUCGUCAUAGAGGGCAUG